rnacentral:rRNA from 1 species
UACGGGGGGAGCAAGCGUUGUUCGGAUUUACUGGGCGUAAAGGGCGCGUAGGCGGUCAGCACAAGUCAGUUGUGAAAUCUCCGGGCUUAACUCGGAAAGGUCAACUGAUACUGUGCGACUAGAGUGCGGAAGGGGCAACUGGAAUUCUCGGUGUAGCGGUGAAAUGCGUAGAUAUCGAGAGGAACACCGGUGGCGAAGGCGGUGAUCUGGGCCGACACUGACGCUGUAGAGCGAAAGCGUGGGGAGCGAACAGG